CGUGUCUUGCUGAGUUUGCCUUUUUGUUGUUGCCCUGCCCACUUCUCUGGUCUUUGGCGUGUACCUGUGCACACCCUCACGGUCGCUCGAUUCGCACCGCUCACACGCUCACACACACACCCCUGGCGCGCAUACGGGCGCACUCGCUUAAUCACAGAUUGUCUUCCUUUUCUUUGUGUUCUGGUUCGGUCGUUUCGCCGUUCUAUUGUGUGCGUAUGCAUUCGUGUGCGUCUCGAGUGUGACCUGUCUAUUGCAGCGCACGCACAUCCCGCCUUCCCCUCCUCCUCGCGUCUCGCCUUCAUGUGCGGCGGCUGCUUUACGGCGUAUCAGUGAUAGGCAGAGCGCGUGAGUGGACGUUCUCCUACUCUUCUCUGUUUUGUGUGCCGCCACAGCAGGCAACGCUAUCAUUCACACAGAGGUCCACGCGCCCGCGCACAGGUCCAAGAAGGGCAGAGAAAUAAACAAGCACAGCAGUGGCAUCGCUUGUGCUCCACUUGUCUCACCACGCGCACACUGCGUUCGUAUGCGCAACACACAACCGUCUGCUUCGUAGGUUAAGAUACUUUCGCCUGAGUGGCUGUGUCUGCGUCUGUCUCUGCCGUCAGCGACUGUUGUCCCUCCUCUCGUUGAGGGUUGCUUGUUUGUUUCCUUCUGUUCGGGUAUUGUUCGCCCUAACUGUCCCCCCACACCCCUCCCGUCUCCUGCUGCUCGAGACACCACACACCACGCAUUUCCUAAACUACUAAGACUCUUGUUUUCUCGUUUUUUUUUCUCUUCUUAAGCACACGGCACACGCACUGGUGUGCCGUGUAAGCGGUGCCGCACCGUCUCUGUGCCGAGCGCCACCUGGAGGUCCCCCUUUUUCCUUGUGACCUUGUUAUUGGUCUCUCGCUCUCUCUGUGCGUGUGCAUGGGUGUACACGUCUCUUCGUACGUGUGUCGGCCAUUCAGACAACGUACCGCAACCUGCAGUCAAGCCUGCACACUCUUUAGUGGGCACACACUCACACACACGCAUUCACACAUACACACGACUCGCGUGCCGCCAAUAAAAGGUUCACCAACGCGCGAGGAGGCACACGGCCAUCAUCGUCUCCUCGCUGCCUCGCCUUCCUUUCUCUUGGCUCUCCUUUCUUUGUCCUCCUCCCUCCCGUCUUAUUAAGUAUUAUCAAACCUUAGCUGGACCCUCCCUGCCCGUCCCUUCCACCCCCUCCAUCUUCGACCUCCCGCUCUGUCAGUUCCCCUUUCCAUCGCUUGUGCGGGCCACCUUGUGUUUACUAUCGUUUGCCUCGUGUUGUUGUCUCUCCUCCUCCUCUCCUCUCUCUCUCUCUGCACGCCUUUGUGUCGGCAUCGGCGUGCGUCUCGGCGACGCUGUGGCUGCGCGUGUUCCAGUGGCCCGUCGUUGUGUACUUUAUCUUCUUAUUUUUUUGUCCUUUCCCUUUGCUAAUGAACGCCGAUGACGCCCGCGAAAUGCUAGCCGGCUCGCUGGGCGGGGCGAGUGCGACGGUGGUAGAGUACCCGAUGGACACCAUCAAGGUGCGCUUGCAGGACGAUGGAAAGCGCUACGGUGGCGUCCUGCAGUGUAUCCGUGCCAUUGCGAAAGAGGAGGGGGUUGUGAACGGCUUCUUCCGCGGACUGCCCGCCCCGGUGAUCGGCGCGGCGUGCGAGAAUGCCAUUUUGUUUGUCUCGUACCGCUCGGCUAUCGAAGGGUUUCAGAAAGUUACCUAUGGCUACUGUGGUCCGUGCAACCAGGAGCCGUACCUGGCGGUGUCGGUGGCCGGCGCCACCGGCGGCAUUGUCGUUUCGCAGGUGCUCACCCCGGCGGAGCUCAUCAAGUGCAAAAUGCAAAUCCAGAACACCCUUCCCCUUGAAGAACGCAUUUACAAAAACUCUCUCGACUGCGCCGCUGCCACUUACAGGCGGCGCGGCAUCCGCGGCCUCUUCCGUGGGCACAUAGCAAUGAUGGUGCGCGAGGCCGUCGGCUGUGGUCUUUACUUUUUAGUCUUCCAGUCUGUUAUCCGGCCCUUCUUGUCGGAGGGGCAGAGGUUUCACGAGGCGCCGGCGUGGGUGCACUUCCUCGGCGGUGGGUGCGCCGGUGUCGCCUUCUGGACCUCCACGUACCCUGUCGAUGCCGUGAAGACGAAGCAGCAGACGAUGAAAGCAGACUAUCUGAAGCUGAAUUUCCGUCAGGCGUGCACGCGGCUGUACAAGACGGAGGGCAUGCGCGGUCUUUUCCGCGGCUACAGCGUCACGGCUGUGCGGGCCUUUCCUGGCAACGCCAUUCUGAUUGCCGUUUAUGAGCGGGUGAACGCUCUCUGGGAGCAUUCGACGAAGGUCACCCACAAGAAGAUGGCGUAGUGCUGCUUGGUAACAUCCUUGUCUGCGGUGACGAUUGCCGGCUGCGUUUCGCUCGUAGACGAGGAUACCGAAAUGGGAAGGAAGAGGUUGGAAGAAAUAUACAUGUAUUUGUUUGCAGGAAUGGAAGGUGGGAGAAUGGGGCUGGCAACACAAACGUUGUCUCUUUCACAGUAAUUCCGCUACUAUCAACGCUUUCAGCUGUGUGCUGCGUACCUCGCUUGUCUAGUUUCCCCUCUGUUGCGGUCGAUCCUACACUCGCCCCAACAGAAUUGCCUUCGGCGCCCUUCGCACGCUCUGCGGCAGUUAGCAUUCCUUUUUUUUUUGUUUACGCUCGGUGAGAUGCUUCUCGUUUCCUGUCUCGCGCUCCCCGCACGCCUUGAUGACGGCGGGCCGAUGAGGAGGGGGUGAGGUGGUGACCAGCUCAGCGCGUGGCUUCACCCGGCCCAAGUACCCUCCACCAUCUCUGCGUGGGAGGAAGCCAAGCAAGCCGCCCCGCAUUUCUCCCUGCGAAGUGCGCAACCACCGGUGGUGGUGGCAGGGCCAAGCACGCGCGACGUGGGGCGUGGAGGGCGAUGCAUGGCUGCUGAUGUCGGUGCGCCGGCCCGGGGUGACGCGGCGCCGGAGCGACCUGCGACAGUGAACACGUGUGCACCAUCCACAUGAUGGGCAGAGUGUCCGCGUGGCUGGAAGGCAUCCCACCCCCGGCCCUCGCGCAGCCUGCUGGUAUGCGGGUGUGGGUGGAGUUUGAGGCGUAGGCCGUGCUCUCGGAUGGCUUGGUCGGCGCGUUUGACGUGGCGCGUGUGUGCUGCUGCACCGCACCAGGUAAUGUGGAGGGGGGAGGGGGGCUCUGACCGGCCGUGCGGGAUGGGGUGCAGUGUGGCGUUGUAGCUUGUGUCGCGCGGCCUCAUGUGCGUGAUGUACAAGAAACGUACUCAUAAGUGUUUGUGUGCUUUGGGCAGGAGGAUGCUCUGCGUUAGUUGAUGUGGGGAUGUUGGAUUGUGCGUGGGCGGUGAGCAGCCGUGCUGAUAGCCGCUGUUGAGAGUUAUGAUUCUCUUGUAGCUCAAGUUGAAGGUUUCCUCUUGGUUGAGCGCCAUCUCUGGUGAUGACGCAGGCAUCAGGCGCGUUGGUGCGACGCUUUCUGCGUCGCUCGCUUUCUUUUCUUUUAUCCUUGCUCUUUUUGUUUUGCUUCUUCUCUCGCGUUCUCGACUCGCCCUCUCUCCUUCGUCGUGCGUGCAUGCGUACCUGAACGCUUCUUACACAGUGGCUUCUCUUGCGGAU
rnacentral:misc_RNA from 1 species